UACGAAGGGAGCUAGCGUUGUUCGGAAUCACUGGGCGUAAAGCGCACGUAGGCGGAUUGUUAAGUCGGGGGGUGAAAUCCUGGAGCUCAACUCCAGAAUUGCCUUCGAUACUGGCUUUCUAGAGGCUGGAAGAGGUUAGUGGAAUUCCCAGUGUAGAGGUGAAAUUCGUAGAUAUUGGGAAGAACACCAGUGGCGAAGGCGGCUAACUGGUCCAGAUCUGACGCUGAGGUGCGAAAGCGUGGGGAGCAAACAGG
rnacentral:rRNA from 1 species